rnacentral:lncRNA from 1 species
AAAAACUUAAAAGUAGUCUCAUAUGACAUUUUAAAAACAAAAUACAUAACAAAUAUCCUAAAUGUUAUUGGCUUCAUAUGAUUAUCUUGCACCAGAAGGUGUUUGAGGCAUAUUUGCAUAGACUGAAAUAAUAAAAGUAUUUAGUUGAAACAAUUAAAAACAUUAAUAAUUACCUUAUCAUGAUAUACAUAAGCAUAUAAAAUUAACAACUAACAUGUAUGCAAAAUAGUAAUGAAUAUUCAGAAUUUUCAUAGAUUGUAGGACCUCUGGUAGCAAGUUACAAAUAAGUUCAUGUUAAUAAAUUCAAUUACUAAUUGCAUGUAUAAAUGUUUGAUGAUUUUACUGCUUCCCUGUGGCUGUCCAUUUUCUUAAUCAAUGACAAGUGUCUUAGUAUUAUGUUAGACACAAUACUAAAAAUGAUUUGAAAGUUGCAAAGAACUGAUUUUUGUGAUGUCUGUGCAUUAUAGUCACAAAUCACAACUCAUCUUAUCUUAGUUUGGUUAAACAGGAACAAAUAGUGCCCCUUUGUUUAGGAUUCUCAAAAAAUUAAUUCUACAAAAGUGAUAUUGGUAGAAAUGUUAGUGAGAAGCUGAAAAUUCUAGCUUCUCCUAAAAGUUGAUUAAACACAUCCAAAAACAAAUUAAAUACCUGCAAAGAUGGUAAAGUGAGUUGUAUGUCUUUUACGAAACACUUGCUGAUUGCUUAGUUGCAGCAAGUUGGUCUACAUAGUUUGGAAUCUCCAAUGAAAAGGGUUUCAUUUGAGAUGCAAAAGCACUCCACCAUGGUGCUGAACUUUGCAUAAAAAGUAGGUUCUACCAUGGAUUUUUUAUCCAAUCCUCAGCAUACAUCAAACCAAAAUUUCAAUUUCCAUAACUU